CGACCCGGCAUUACCAAUGAAUGCACUCACUCAGCUGCAGCAGCGACGGCAACGACGGCAGCGGCGCCAGCGCAGCCGAAAAAAACAGUUUAACGCUCAAGUUUGUUCAAGGGUUGCGCUUUUGAGCGCCAUGCAAAAAGCUUUCGCAGUUGCUUGGCGAAUUCGUGCGGACUGCAUUUCGCCGGACGCUUUCAGCAUCGGUGGGGCUGCUGCUGCUGCUGCUGUCGCUGGCGUCCCAACGGUGGUUGCAAUCUAACGUUACUUUCUGUCUCUUCUUUGCGUGGUUUGUUUUUGUUUUUGCUGCGCCGCCGCUCAAUCAUAAACGUAUUGUGCAAGGCUGGCAAAGGAAUUGACGGCGGCAGCUUCCAUAUUGAUGAGCCUCACAUUUUCUUGUACUUUCGAUUUUGCACUGCUCGGCAAUAAGGGACUUCUUUCUAUAGCUAACUUUCGCUGAACGUUAACCAAAAUUGGAUAAUGCAUUGCUCUGUCGCAUCUUAACAUAGAACAGAUGCGUUUUGGCUCUAGGAAGUCGUCGGCAUAAAAAUAAAUAACAAAAUAAACUAGAAUAAUUGUGUAUGGGUGUGUAUGUUGGUGUGUGUGGGUGUGUAUGUGUGCAGGUAGUGCGCCAAAAGCUUUUCGCUAUCGCUAUGAAAAUGAAAAUAAACAGCUGCACACACACUCACACACAUGCACAAAGAUUAAUGUGUUUACAUGAGUAUGUGUGUGUGUGUUUAUAAAGAGUUGCCCGCAUUAGAAACAAAAAGUAAAAAGCUCAACGCUUUGCGUUUCUAAUCAUCGCACAAUUGCAUUUGAAGGACACGAGCGCAACGAGCGUAGGGCAGGUGGUGCGAACGGUUGGGGGGCCCAGCGGGAAUUGAACGCGAAAUUUGCUUAGAGAGUGGCGCAGCAAAUUAAAAAUAAAUAAGUGCCACACAAACGCACACACACACACACACAACUGCACACAUACACGAACGCAUUUCGUGUACAGAACAUCAUUUCGAAAAAGUUGGCAAAACCUAUGCAUACCCUACAAUUGUUAUAUGUAGGUUAAGUUAAAAUACCAAUAGAAACUGAUUUAAUAUAACUAUUAUAACCUUCGAGAUUUUAAUAAGAAAACUGAAAUAGUUGGCAUACCCUGUAAUUGACAUAAAUAGUUUAAAAUAUUUAAGAAAAAUCACAGAUAAAUAAAUUAUGGUCCUAAAUAAUGAUCCUUAAAAGCUGAUUAAAAUUGUGCACGAAAAUAUGAAAUAUUAUUACAUAUGAAAACAUUUGACAUUUGAUGGAACUCAAGCAUACCCUACAAUUGGCAUAAAUAGGUUACCUGCACACUGACCAAUUCAAUAUACCCCAUAAGCUUAGUUUAGACAACAAAAGUAGCCAUAAAAAACUAUUAGAAAAUUGUCAACCGAAACGACUUGUCGAGUUUAACAUUCAACUUGAACGCAGGCGACCCGCUGACGUUGCCGUCGUCAUCAUCAGCGUCGUCUCCGAGUGCAUUUGCAUUUUGAUAAGCUUUUGCACAUUGCGCAUACGCCGUGUGUUACGGCCGCCUGUGGCUGCGUUAGCUAUGCGCCCGACCAUGUUCUUAUGCAUAUAGUAUAUAAAUAGUAUAUAUAUAUGUAUACAUAUAUUUAUAUGUAGAUGCAUUUAUAUAUGUACGAAUUGUCGCCUGAGUAUUGAUGCAAUGCUCAUAAUAAUUUUGUUAUUCUAGACUGUGAAAAACUUCCGCAACGUCGUUGACGCUGCAUCGAUCUUUAUCAAAUUGCAAUGGGGAAGCGUUGCGAAACGAAACAAAAUGCAACAAAUGCAAUUACAACAACAAUAUUCAGCAAUAAAAACCAAAUGGCGAUAUUUCGAUUCAAGGACAAGUGCGCGAUAGGCAACGCAAACUGUACUAACCGCAGCCAAUAUACUACCUAUAUACAGGCAUGCAUAUAUAUACAUAUAUAUAUAUAUAUAUAUAUUUAUAUAUAUUUAUAUGGAGUACUACUGAUAACUGCUGCAACAAAGGCCAUAAAAUGUCCGCUUACAUAGCGCCGUCUCGCUCGGGCUGGCUGGGUGUCAGGGCUCAGUGGGUGGCCUUGCGAAUAGUGCGCUAUCUAGGAAAUCUACGCAUAUCUGUUGGGUAGUCUCAAUGAAUAAACAAAUUUCACGAUGUAUUUAUAAGUGUAAUGCAAAUAUUUGUUUAUAUUGGGGAGUGCCUGGGUCGUUCGUAUUGUGUAUUGCGUUUUCCACUAAAACAUUUUCUAAUCGGCUUUCCCAUCCACCAGGCAACACUUCGUAUUCGCGUGUGUGUAUUUCCCUGAUGAUUCAGUUACGAAGGGUGCGUUCUUAAAGACAUGUGGAAAGUAACGCCGGAAAAGCCAUAAAACUUGACUACAGAAGAAUAAGCUAAUCAGAUAAGUUACUGAAAUUUACUUGCUAUGAGGAAGCUAUUUUUGUGAAGAGCAGGCACUUAAAGCUAGUUAUAACUGAUUGUGAAUUAUAAUUAAUGUUUGAGCUGAAAGCAGGAGGGUAAAUGAGGGAAAGGGGGAGGACGAGAUUGGCCCCUAGAUCUGUGGCUCAAGAGGACUUAAAGCAGUUAGAACUAAUUGCGAAUUAUAAAUGCAGCUUAAGCUGAAAACAAGAGACAAAGGGAGAGAACAAGACUGGCCAGGGAUUUGUGGUUCAAGUAGAUCCUUGCGAGGAGCCGUAUUAGAAUGUAGAUAAAAUAGUUGGGGAUCUAAAGAUCUUAAAGAUUUCUAAAUAUUGCAUUCAAAUAUUUCUAUCUCAAGGACGCUGGGAUGUCUAUAAAGUAAAAUAGUAAUGUGUAAAAAACAUAUAUGUAAUUAUUGCUAUUUAUACAUCAUUAUUUAUUGAACAUUUUCACAUUGAGUAAUGAUGAAUUUAUUAUUUACAAAAGUCUACGGGCUGCGUGUGGCACAAAUUAUGAUGUUUAUGCAUUUAGAUACGGCUACAAAAACAACAAACGAAAACAAACGAAUACAAUUUGCGAGUAA